UACGAUAAGUUGACGAUCGUUGGUUUAUUAUUGUUUAGCAACAUCACGAUCAUAUUCCUCGUAAUUUAUAUGUAAAAAAACAGUUACUCACGGCAACAAUUUAGAUUUUGUUGCGGUGACAAUUAUAAAUUUUCAACGGUUUUGAAUAUUUUUGUGUUGUUUUUUCUUCGAAUUAAUUUAAUUAAGUUUCGCUUAGUUUUAUUGUCAAAGCUGUCGCGGUAGCUUCGUUGAUCGUUGAUCGUGUUGAGUGGAAUUUUUCCAAACAAUUCAACAAGAAAAAGAAAAGUGUUGAUCACUUUGAAUCACUUUGUUGGUCGGUUUUUAUUUGGUUCCGGGUUAAGUGGAUACAAUUCAAUUUAGUAAUCUUUGUUUGAGUUAUAAGUGUUUAAAUAAUAAAACAAAUAAAUAAUAAAUAAAAAAAGCUAAUUUUUGUGAAGUGUCUUUGAGUAAUAUACGGAAGAGCCGCGCCGCGACGGCCUACAUUAUCAGAACCAUUUUUGGACAUUGUAGCCGCUUUAAUUAAAUUUUGUUGUUGUUGUUGUCAUUCUUUACCAUCAUCAUCAUCGGCAUUGCCUUGUAA